rnacentral:lncRNA from 14 species
GGGGGAGCGGCGCUGCUGUGUGCCGAGGCCCGGCAGCACGGCACGNNNNNNNNNNNNNNNNNNNNGCGAGACGGAGCGAGCUUCCCGAGGCUCCUCUGCCGGCGGGCAGGUGAAGCUGAGACCAUAGAGGGAGUCUGCGCCUGCUCCCAGACCGGUGACGGGAAGGACUGACAAACCCCAAGUGCCCACAGCAGUCCUGGUCCUUUCUCAGUUCCUGCCAUUAGACUGAAGAAUAAGAUCUCAGAAUCCCAGCUUGGCUCCAUCCAGCAGUCCCCAGCACCGCAUACCAAUGAGAGGUGUAGUUUGCAUCCAGCCCAGAGCAGAAGAGCUUGGGUUUCAUCAUUGCCAUGUGGAUGUUCAGUGAGCUGUGUUAAGUAAAUUGCAUUGUUGCAGUAGAAUUGUG